GAGCAAAAUAUAUCGCCCGUUAACUAGCAAAAAAUGGCAAAAUUAGCAAUUUUAAAACCUUCACAAAAACGAAGUGAAUCAUUUUUUCAGUUUCCAGCUUUAAGUUAUAGAUUUUUUUCAAAUGGUAAAACAAAUUUCCCUCCACACUGCUAGUCAAAAUUCUAUAAUUGACUGAAUAUCACUUUGAAUCAUCAGCUUUUCCAAUUGUGUCAAUCCCGAAUGUGCAGAAUUUCCCAGACGCCCAAUCUCCUGCUCCUGUGAUAUUAGUUUGUCAUGAAUAUUUACGGGUGGCAAAAGUAGAUUCUGUAAUAAAUCCAAAGAAAUCCCUGUGGGUUCAUUUCGCUAAUGACUCAUAAGUAGAUCUUGUCAGGUCAAUGAACUUCAAAGGCAGAAAAUAUCACAGCUUGAUAAAUAUCACAGACUAAUCUAAACAAAAGUCACUAAAGUACUAUAGUCACAUUACCAUGUCAAACACGCAUAUCGUAUGUAUUUGUUAUUUGAACUCUGGCAGUAUGCCCUGAGCACGUGACAGAAAACUUAUUUUCAGCCUGCUCUGAUAUAUUUUUCCUUCCGCAUAAGACUGCAGUUUUAUUACAAGUUUAUAGCAAAUUUAUAAGAAGCCAGCGCCUGUUAAAAGAAGACUACAAGUUUUUAUUACAGUUUCAUUAAAGUCAGCACUUGAUAAAAAUGUAUACCCGCUGUAGCGGAAAAUUGUCUCGAGGGUCUGUUGGCUAUCAUGCAAAUCAAGUCCACUUAUUGCUCUACGACAUAAUUUUAGACUGAAUUCAAUAAACUUGCGUUAUUUUCAAUUUUCAAAUAACAAAAAGUCAGUAACAGGGGCAGAUAUAGGAUUUUUUUGAGAUGAGCGGGGGUGGUGUUUGAUUUUCAAAAAAAAAUCCAAAAUCUUAAUGACAUUUGGUUUUUAGCUCAACCAGAAUGAUUUACCGAGCUCUCCAAAAACCCCACAACGAAAAUUUUUUAAAAAAAGCAGAAAGUGCCGUAAUUGAAAUUUAAAAAAAAAACAUGUCAAAAUGUCUGCUUGGGCGCGCAAAUCUCCGAAAAAGGACGUCCGCCCCGCCAUCUAAGUCCGCCCCUGGACGAAAAAGUGAUAAAAAAUUACUCCUAUCUGCAGGUAAAAUUAAAAGAAAAAGCAAUUUCAUUAUAAUUUGGAUUCCUAACUUUCCGAUAAUUCUUCAGAUAUUCUGAGAAAAUUUCGUCUAAUUUAUACAAAUACAAUAAGUUUGCGUUUCUGCUUUGCAAUCAUUAUAUCAAAUAGACAUUUAUAGAAUAUUGAUUAUUUUUGACCUCUUAUUUAUGUUAAAUGCUUUUGAGAAUUUAUUCUACUGCGAAUUCUUGCCUUAUAUUCUGCUUUUAUCGAUUGCGAUAAUCAACUCAUGUGAAUGACAUUACAUAAACAUGACAACUAAAGAGCCCAAAAAUACUAAAGCUGCAUCAGCUGAGCCCCCUAAGAGCGAAACUUGCGAGGAUGUAGAGUCGAUUGAGGGCGUCACUUACGAGGGGGGGCAUAUUGCGCUUCAGCGGACGGGGGUGCAUAAGAAGAACCGAUGUUGGAUUGUUCUGAGAGGACUGCUCACUACUUUAUUUGUGGACAUGUUGAUCCUGAUUGCAAUUGGAGGUAUAAUACAGUUGGCUCACGAAUUGGAUAAAAAUGCAGAAGCCCAGAAAAAAUAUGUUCACGCAAUGCAAUCGAAAAAACAUUAAUAUAUUUAUAUGUCAUCUUCUUUUCAAAUAUAUAUUCAAUGUUUUCAUCUUCCAAUUUACUUCUCUCCUUGA